rnacentral:rRNA from 1 species
CAGGCCUAACACAUGCAAGUGAACGAGACCUUCGGGUCUAGUGGCGCACGGGUGCGUAACGCGUGGGAAUCUGCCCUUGGGUUCGGAAUAACAGCGAGAAAUUGCUGCUAAUACCGGAUGAUGACGUAAGUCCAAAGAUUUAUCGCCCAGGGAUGAGCCCGCGUAGGAUUAGCUAGUUGGUGGGGUAAAGGCCUACCAAGGCGACGAUCCUUAGCUGGUCUGAGAGGAUGAUCAGCCACACUGGGACUGAGACACGGCCCAGACUCCUACGGGAGGCAGCAGUGGGGAAUAUUGGACAAUGGGCGAAAGCCUGAUCCAGCAAUGCCGCGUGAGUGAUGAAGGCCCUAGGGUUGUAAAGCUCUUUUACCCGGGAUGAUAAUGACAGUACCGGGAGAAUAAGCUCCGGCUAACUCCGUGCCAGCAGCCGCGGUAAU